UGCAACUUACUUUUAUUUAACCAAAAUCAGCAGCCAACAUUCCUCCCAUUCCUCCUUAGUUCUUCAAUAGCCAAAGAAGAGAUUGACUUCAUUCAAAGCUCUUACAGUAAACCUCAAGAGGUAAAACUUGCUUUAAUACUCCAUUAAUUUUCAGUUUCUAACAUUCUGAUCCAAGCUAUACGUUCUUAUGCUUGAAUUAUAAUUCACAGAUUCCAGCUAGACACCAAAUACCAGCUACAUCGAGGUCCGGGCGACAGAAAGUGAAGCAGAAGAAGAAACGACUCCACGCCAGCUUUAAGAACAAUUGAGGUUGAGCAGGCGAUGGAAUGGAUCGGUGUUGAGCGGAUUUCCCUUUUGAUGUUUAUGUAAUGAAACCUUGAGUAUGCAUCUCCAUAUGCAUAACUCACACGUUUUUCCGCUGCAAACACUCUGAAUUUGUUAUCGUAUUGUGGAACUUAUUACUCCUUCAUUUUGUUUAACUUUCAUUUGGGGUUUAGUCGUUAUGGCUGGCUCAUUUGUUAAUUACCCAAGUGGUUAUAUAUAUAUAUAUACCACUAGUUUGUUGUUAUUAA